rnacentral:rRNA from 1 species
GAUGAACGCUGGCGGCGUGCCUAAUACAUGCAAGUCGAGCGAACGGACGAGAAGCCUGCUUUUCUGAUGUUAGCGGCGGACGGGUGAGUAACACGUGGAUAACCUACCUAUAAGACUGGGAUAACUUCGGGAAACCGGAGCUAAUACCGGAUAAUAUUUUGAACCGCAUGGUUCAAAAGUGAAAGACGGUCUUGUUGUCACUUAUAGAUGGAUCCGCGCUGCAUUAGCUAGUUGGUAAGGUAACGGCUUACCAAGGCAACGAUGCAUAGCCGACCUGAGAGGGUGAUCGGCCACACUGGAACUGAGACACGGUCCAGACUCCUACGGGAGGCAGCAGUAGGGAAUCUUCCGCAAUGGGCGAAAGCCUGACGGAGCAACGCCGCGUGAGUGAUGAAGGUCUUCGGAUCGUAAAACUCUGUUAUUAGGGAAGAACAUAUGUGUAAGUAACUGUGCACAUCUUGACGGUACCUAAUCAGAAAGCCACGGCUAACUACGUG